GAGGGUAUAGCUCAGUGGUAGAGCACAUGCCUACCAUGCACAAGGUCAUGGGUUUGAUCUCCAGUAACUCCA
rnacentral:tRNA from 1 species